UACGAACUGUGCAAACGUUAUUCGGAAUCACUGGGCUUAAAGGGUGCGUAGGCGGCUUAUUAAGCAGGGUGUGAAAUCCCCCGGCUCAACCGGGGAAUAGCGCUCUGAACUGAUGAGCUGGAGUGAGGCAGGGGUGCGCGGAACUUCCAGUGGAGCGGUGAAAUGUGUUGAUAUUGGAAGGAACACCGGAGGCGAAAGCGGCGCACUGGGUCUUGUCUGACGCUGAGGCACGAAAGCCAGGGGAGCAAACGGG
rnacentral:rRNA from 1 species